CUUUUAUUCCAGUAUGCUGCUGCUGGCUCUGCCCCCGAUCUGCCUGCUUGGAUGACAUCAUCAGAAGUGGUAUUCUGAGCAAAUCACAAUGCUUUCAAGUAGGAAAGCAUUUUAUUGGCUGAGCUUGUCAAGGAGGCAGAUCCAGCACAAGCCAAACACAGCCUGGCCAAUCAACAUCUCCUAAUAGACAUAUAUUGAAUCAAUGCAUCUAUAUGAGGAAAGUUCAGUGUCUCCAUGCAGAGGGUGAAGACACUGAAUAUCAGUGCUGCCCAUUGUGUAGCACUGGCCCAGAAAGAUUCUCUAGUCUAGUAGCCAUAUGUUGAGUGACCAGUGGAGAGUCCCUGGGCUGUAAUGUAAACACUGCAUUUUUUUUCUGAAAAAACAGUGUUUACUUCAAAAGGCCUAAAUGGAAUGAUUAUACUCACCAGAACUAAUACAAUACGCUGUAGUUGUUCUGGUGACUAUAGUGUCCCUUUAAUAGUGAAGAGAAACAAUCAUGGAUUUACUGCAAUGAUGUUAACCUGUUUACUUUAAUUAAAAAAAAAAAUACAAAACAUUGAGCCAGUGAGACCAGCUUCUAAGCUUCUUCAUGUAACAAUCAAUGUAUUUGUAGUAGAGAUCUAAUAAUAAUAGACUAGAAUAGUGCAUUCAGUUUCACAUGAACUUGAGUUAGUCUGACUAUAGGCUGAUUGGCAGGAUGUCUAAAUGCCAUAACUCUGAAGUGCCAUGUGGACAUAUAGCCAAACAACUCACUAAAUGGAUGAGCAUGUCCUUUUAAUUCGUGAUUCAAAGUUCCGCACGUUGUCCCAAAAAAUAGAUGAUUCGAAAUAAGAUAAUUGAUGGCUAGGGGACAGCCACUAAUUGUUGAU